AUAAAACCAAGGUAAAUUCGAACCUGUAUUUACACCACCUGAAGCCAUCUAAUUCUCUACGAGAUCUGAAUUGCAGGAUUGAAAAAUGACGAACCCUCCCAGUAUUGCAAUUAUUGGAGCUGGCAUCUUCGUUAGAACCCAGUACAUUCCCAGAUUAGCAGAGAUCUCUAAUCUCUUCAAUCUUAAGGCUAUUUGGAGUCGCACUGAGGAAUCUGCGAGAGGAGCAGUGGAGAUAGCGCGGGGUAAGUGUUUCCCGGAAGUGGAGUGUAAGUGGGGUGAUAAGGGUCUUGAUGAGAUUAUCCAAGAUGAGUCAAUUCUUGCUGUUGCUGUGGUUCUCGCCGGACAAAUUCAGGUUGAUAUGUCACUGAAGCUACUGAAGGCAGGGAAGCAUGUUCUGCAAGAGAAACCAGCAGCAGCUUGUAAGUAGGAUUUUUUGUUUUACUCUCUCCUCUCUUCCCCCUUCUGUUGGGAUGAUUUGCUAUUGUUAUCUUCAUUCUCCAUGAAAUUUAGGACUAAAAAUCACAGCAUGAGUUCAGAUGUCUAUGAAUUUACUGUUUCAGGUUAGAGAAUAUAUUAUGCUUCAGUUCUUUAAUAUAGAAACUCUCUUCAUAUUUUUCAGUUUAAUUUAUGCAUUUGAAAUUACUUUGUAGUACUGCUAUUCUCUUUUGGAUCAGUAGGAAAAUAAGUAAAAACAAGUAAAAUGAAAAACUUCAUCAUCCAGACCCUUUAGUUAUAAGCUUGACACUUUGGCAUCUAACCUCUACUUGACACUUAGUUGAUUCUAUAUGACAUAGAUUUGGAGAAGUGAUGAUAAAUGUGUGCAGUAGGCCUGAACAAGGACGCCAAACAACUUAUUGUGAUGAGAAACACCAACCAAGUCAAUGACAUUAAAAUAGGAUGAGAAUCUUAUAUCUGAAAGAGAUUAUUGCCCUAGUGUUGACCUGAACUUUAAAGACAUUGAGUUUUCUUCCAAAUGCCCCAAAGAAUAUGAUAGAAGAACUAUUUCUUUCAAAUACCAACCCAUUUUUCCUUAUGUGCAGGAUAAGGUGUAGCUAAAAUCUUGAAAAGAAGUCACUGUAUUAUCAAAUUCAAUAAAAGAUAUCUGAUAGAUAUUUAUGGAUACCUUUUCUGGAUCAGGUACAAACCUUGAAUGAAAUGUUAGAUUGACUCUGGUUUUAAUAAUGCAGCUAUAGAUGAAAUAGAAACUGUAAUGUCAACCUACAAAACUGUUUGUGCCAAUUCCCCUGGUCAACCAAUUUGGGCUGUGGCGGAGAAUUAUAGAUUUGAACAUGCUUUUGUGGAGGUACCUUUUUGUCUUUGUACAUUUAUCAUUUGCUUCCCGUUUCUCUAAGUUAUGAUAUACUCAUUAUUGCAUCUGCAGGGCAACAAACUGUUGCCUGAAAUUGGGGACAUGAUGACUGUCCAAGUUAUUGUUGAAGGAUCAAUGAAUAGUUCAAACCCUUAUUUCUCAAGCUCAUGGCGGCGCAAUUUUACUGUAUGUAUUUUUGUUUUAUAGUUAAUUUUUCUGGAUUUAUUUUAUGGAUUUACAAAUGUGAUUACCGUACAUGGGUUUUGCAUGCUUAUUGCAAUUUACACAUCUGACAUUAUGAAAUGUGCUCUGCCAUAUGAGAUGAAUGAAUUUUCUUAUUUUGGAUAUGGUACGAUUGGCUCUUAGUGCCUUGUACCCUACAUUGUGAAGUAGCAAGAGAACUAUAUUCUUUUACCAUGACACAAAUUACACAGCACCUUAUUAUUCUUUUUGGAUUGCAGUUAAACGAAUUUCAAUAUUCCAGUGAUUUUUGUGUCAUUGUUAGUAUAGGUAUACUGUUUGCUAUUUCUAUCACUCUUGAACUAGUUCUUUGUUGACCGGAUUUUUGACUAGUGUAUCUUCCUUAUUUUGGCAGGGGGGUUUCAUUCUAGAUAUGGGGGUGCAUUUCAUUGCUGGAUUAAGAAUGCUUGUUGGAUGUGACGUGAUUUCGGUGUCAGCUAAGAUCUCUCAUGUGGACAAAACUUUACCUCCUCCUGAUAACAUAUGCUCUGUCUUGUAAGUUUCUCACACAUGGACUAGAUUUUCCAAGAAGUCAUAUUUUGAUGCAAUUGCAAGUCCAUGGGUGACUAUGUGGACUUUUCUUUUUCAGUCAGCUGGAGAAUGGAUGUUCUGGGGUUUUUGUAAUGGUUGUAUCCUCAAGAUCACCAAAGGCAUGUGGUAAAGUAAUAGUCUUAAUUCUUAUAGAAUAUGUAUAUUUUUUUUCUAAUAGAUUCUUGCUCUUUUAGAUACAUUGGCGACUUGUUGGCUUAAAGGGAACACUACAAAUUGAUCGGGGAAUGGACAAUGGACAACAUGGUUACAUGGUUUCAUUUUAUGGUGCUGAUGGGCACAGCAAAAAUUGGUUCUACCCAUUCAGUGGAGUAACUGAAGAAUUACAAACUUUUUUGCAUGACGUUUCACAUGCCAACCUUAAGGUAGUUUGAGAUUCUCCGGCAUAAUUCAUUUCUAUGUUCAAUCAUAUGCAUGAUACUGUUCUUGUAUUUUUGUAGCCUUUAGUAUCAGAUGAUCAUCUGUUCUAUGGAUGGAUGCACCUUUUGGCAGGCGAUAGAAAAAAUUUUCCUAUUUGAUUGGUUCUAUUAAUGUCCUUAUCAUUAGAAAUUCGAAACACAUCUUUAAUUAUUUACCCUUGUCUACUUUCCCUCAACAUCACUUUGUUGCUUGAUGCCUUAAUACGAAGCAGCAAAAUGCUCAAAUAGGAUACUAACUCGGUUUCACUGCUGAUCACGUUUUGAUCCUACUCAUUUGUUACAGAAGGGAAGUAACUAUGAAAUAGAGCCCCGUCUCUCUUUCAUGGAAGGUGCUAGAGAUGUUGCUGUUCUAGAUGCAAUGCUUGAAUCUGGAAUGAACAAUGGAGCUCAGGUUCAGGUAAAAAAGUUUUAGGCUGAGGACUAUCUCAACACGAUUCUGUUAAGGAUAGGGGGGAGAGAAGAAAAUAAAGAAAUAUCAUUUACAUUUCUUUAGAUUACAUCAUUAAUUUACGCUGUUAAUUUGAAAUGCUGUGUUGUAAUUUGGGGUGGAGAAUGGUUCUGAAACUAACAUUAUGUAAUUGACUUAAUUUUUAGUAACUUCUGGAAAUUGAUAUUGUAAAGAUUGGUCCAGAAUAAAAGCAAUCAACAUGAUUAACCAAUAUUGACCUCUAAUCCAUCAUUAAAAAAGAAAACUGAUCAUGGAGGCAUGCAUGGACUACUAGUUAAUUAGAUCAUAUAUCAGUUAGCUAUUUGGCUCUCUUAUUUGUGAACAUAGUGCAUGUUGAGUCCCAAUCUGCAACUUAAAUACCUUGCCUCAGUAGACAAUGACAUGAUACGUUGUGGUAUGGCCUCUCAAACGUUUAACAUUAAAUUUGUUGAAUGCCUUCUCAUACGAGGCAGUAAUUUUCCCAUUUCACAAAUCCUCUAACCACAACCUGCCAUACAGCUAGCUAUUUAAUCCAACGCUCACUCAGUCUUUCUUCAAAUUCAGCAGUCCUCUUUAGGAUUAUAGGGUGAGGAAUCGAAUCUUAUCUAUCAGUUGAGUAAUAUACUUUUAUCUAUUAAACUAAAUCAGAUUAAGCAAAAAAU
rnacentral:misc_RNA from 1 species